GGUGAGGGUCACUCCCAGACAAGUCCGUCCUGGCUGGACCAGGUCACACACACUCAGGACGCGCCGCUGACAGUAAUGUCUGGAUCGGCCAGCAGGGGGCACAAACACUCAGAGAAACGGAGAGACACACACUGCAUGCGCAUGCAGAGGGACACAGGCACACACGUGCACACACAAACACACACACGCACACUAGCAGGGCCCCCGAGACUCCCCUGAGAUUAAGGUUUGCAAAUCAGCUGCUGAAAGCCCUACAGAUGGGAGGUGAAGACAUAAUCCACGCGACCGUCCAUCCCUAGCCCCCUGCUUCGUGGGACCCGUGGGAGUGAAGCUGUCUGGAAACGGGCACUUACCAGGCUCCGUCUGCCCCGAGCUCACAGCCCCGAGAACAGCCGCGUGGAGGCUGAGACAGUGGGCAGGAGGACCAGCCCCUCGAGGGUCACUUUGCUGCAUGUUCCUUGGCCACCCUGGGGCUUUCACACAACUUCUCAGUGCCUCUCCUCUGGGGAAAGAGAAAAGGCUUAGGCAGAAGUUCCAAAGUCUCAUUCAAGUUGAAAACAUGUUCAUUCUUUAGCAAGUAGCACUGGAGAUCAUCCUGAAAUGACAUCCAGCUUCUGUCUGUCUGUCUGUCUGUCUCUCAGACCCACUGCCAGGAAGGAACUGGGGGCGCUCCAGGGGCAGGGCAGUUGCCCAGCAGAGGGAAGGGUCACAGCAGAGGGCCCUGGGAGGCAGGAGGAGGAAGGACACCCCCGAGGGCCUGAGUCAGGAGGCGGUGGGCUCUGCAGCUGCGGGGCGGGAAUGGCCAGAAGACCGGUAUAUGGCGCCCGGCCUGGCCCAACCUCUCAGGCGGGAUGGCUCAGACCCAUGCAGGGUCGGCAUGUGCCAGCCUGGGGGCAGUGGGCCGAGGCCCCUCCCAGGCAGGCUGAGCCCCUGACAGGUCUGCGCGCGCCCCGCACGGACAGACCCUGUGUCCCCAGGCCCGGAAGCAACGGCCUGACUUUGGAUUUUAACAGUUGAGCUGAGUCGGCAUUUGUGGCCGUCCCCUCCUGCAGGGCCUUGAGGCCGGCUGAGACCUGCUCCUGUCCUGGCUGCCCCUGAGGCGGGGCGCGGCUGUGCCGGGCAUCGGGGUCCACGGUCACACGGGGUCCUCCAGGCAGCCGUUCGGGCCGGUCCCCGGUCUGUGGCCCGUGGCCUCCCGCACGUGCCUGCAGGCUCCUCCCCACGCUGGACGCUCCUGCCCUCAGGGGCGGGACAUCGGGGCCUCUGCCACGCAGGCCCUGUGGGCCGUUUCUGCUCUGGGCGCACUCUGCCUGGAAUUCGCCUGGGAUCAGCGCCAGCGCCCAUGCGGGCCCGUGAGAACCCCGGGAGCCGCCUCAGUCGGUGGCUGGGGAGGCCCUGCUGCCCCCGCCCUCAUUCUGAGAGGCCGCAGCUCCUGGGUGGGGCUCCAGGGCAGAUCCGCCAGUGCCUCCCUCUCCGUGCCCCCCCGCCCCAAGGCAAAGGCCCUCCUGCUCUGUGUCUGGGCAGGGCCCAGGCUGGGGGGCAGUUGGAAGGGGCCGGUGGGCCCUGCAGUAGCACUCAGGACCAGGAGGCGGCGGGGGUGGUGGUGAGCAGGAGGGGCCCUGGCCCCGGGGCGGGGGGCGGGGGGAAUGGGGAAGCUGGGCAGGGGCUCUGGGCACAGGCGGGGGCGGGGCCGACAGUGGCGGGACACUCCCUUCACUCUGAGAAACUUGGGGUGCAUGUAGCCAUCUACUUUAAUACAUAUGUGAGACACUGAAGAUGCAGACAGCGGCCAGACCAGCCGUGAAAGCAGAGCUCGGCCCCGCGGCCUGCGGCGGCCACCCUGGAAGCCACCCACCACCUACGACGAGCCCAGCGUCCCUGAUUCUACUGUCUCCAGCUCAGGACCAACCACAGGGGGCCAGGCGCUCCCCUCACCAACCUCAUGGGACGCCCCCUUCCAGCCCCACCCCCCGGCCUCCCCGGGCCGCAGCCCCCGUCAGGGCACCCGCACCCCUCUCUGCUGGGACGCUCUCCCCCCACUGCCCGCCUGGGAGUGACGUGGCAGGGCCAACCCCCUGCCCCGCGAGCUCGGAGGGCAAGCCACCCACUGUCUGCUGGGUGGGCUUCACCUGAGUCCACGGUCGGCCUCGUGCCACUUCGGAAGGUGACCCUGCUGACGGGGGCUCUGGGCUCACACAGGUUUUCUCGUCCCUGGGGAGGUCUGUUCCCUCCGCACAGAGGCAUGGUCCCCAGGGAAAGGCCGGGGGAAGCUGAGCCGCGGAGAGGGGCUUCCGGGGCCCCCCGUCCUCUGCAGACGCGGUCCUGCCAGGGGUCCAGCUGGGUGGACCUCAAGGAGCGGGCCUCCCCCCCAGCCCCGCAGGAGCCCCUCACUCGGCGGGCUCUGCAGCCCUGGCACUGGGUGAGGGUUACCUGGCGCCAAAGCACUCCUCCCCUCGUGCUUUCGAUGCCUUCUUCUCGAAGUCUCUGCCCACCCCGGCUGCUUCGAGGGCCGCGGGUGGGGCUCGGAGUCAUGGUCGCCGGCUGGAUGCACCUCCAUCACGCACUUUUGCCACCCGGGUGACAUCCUUGGCAUCUGGCCGCCGCCUUCCGAGUUUGCACCUCUGCUCCUGUGCCCGUGGGCUGGCCUCCAGGUCCGUGACGGCCGCCAAGCUCACCAAGAGUCCCUCGGGGGUGGGGGACACAAGUGGCCGCCCUGGCCUCCCAGACCCUCAGGCAGGGCCAUUUGGGGGAACACAGCCUCUCACUCACACGCGCGUGGGCUUCUGGUCGGUCCUGGCCUCCUCGCCCCGCCUCCUGCAACCCCAGUGCUCACGGGCCCCUCGGUGUGGUCGUCACAGCGCAGAGGAUUCCCCCCCCCACCCCGCCCCGAAGAAGCUGAGCCCGUCUCCCGAGAGCGUCUGAAGCGUCUGCGAAGCCUGCUGCCCGCCUGACGUUGGAGGGCAGGUGUCGGCUCCUGAGGGACAGGCCGACCGUGGCCGCUGACAAGCUGGGGGGCGCGGGGAGCCAGGUGGACAGCCGCAGCAUGCAGUGGGCCGUGGGUGCGUCGGCAACAAGCGUGGGUGACGGCCCUGGCCCCCUCGGAGGCUUUCCAGAACAAAGCAGGAGCCAGCCCAGGCCACGCGUGAAGACGGCGCUCCUGCCUGCGGGGGCCUCGCCCGUCACACAGCCGUGAGGACCUCCGUCCUCCAGCCCCGGCGUUGGGCGGGGAUGCCUGGCCGCCUGUCGGACAGUGAGUCCUCCUGAGAACCAGGAACCACCGUCCAGCAAACCUGCGGCCCCAUCUCGCGACGGUGACCCCUGCCCCACGAGACCAAGGGAACCACACCAGCCAGCUGGUCUGUGCCGGGUCGGCUGGCCAGGGCCCCGGCCAGGCCGCAGGGUGGGGCGCCUGGGCUCCGCCGGCUGGUGAAGCCACGUGGAGACUGGGGGUUACUUGCAGGCACCUCCUCUGCCCACACAGGCUCUGCUCUCCCGCUGACGCCCGCCGUUCUGUCCCCGAGGCUGUGACUUUCCCUUAAAGCUCCGUGCAGCUGACUCUGUUUUGGGCGUCUCCCCUCUCCGGAACCUUCCGGAGGGUCAGCUGGCUCUUCUCAAAGGCCCUUUAAAAUUGAAACACAUUCUACCUUCAA